GAAGGAUGAAAUACCAAUAAAUGUUGAGAGAAUAAUAUCCACCGCUGCUUACAACUUCAAAAGGAAAUUGAAAUUCAAUUCUAAAAAUAAAUUCUAGCCAGAACAGAAUACUUCAAAAACUUCAAAGAAAAUAAAACCUAAAAAGUGUUCUUGGUGCCAGUAUGUGGGCGGAAGUGAUAGGUCAAAAAGAGCAGUCAGCCUCUUUAAAUAGUCUUCCCCAUAAAACACGUUUCUUCUUCUUUUAACUUAAGUGCCACUCUUGAACAAAAGAAGGCCCAGCGGGUGCUGGGCCCUCAGCUCGACCGCGGAGGAAAAUAGGGGCCUUGGGCGAGUGGC
rnacentral:lncRNA from 1 species